AACUUUUGACAACGGAUCUCUUGGCUCUCGCAUCGAUGAAGAACGCAGCGAAUUGCGAUAAGUAAUGUGAAUUGCAGAUUUCAGUGAAUCAUCGAAUCUUUGAACGCACCUUGCGCUCCUUGGUAUUCCGAGGAGCAUGCCUGUUUGAGUGUCAUUAAUAUAUCAACCUUCUCUUGUUGAGUUGGUUUGGAUGUGGGGGUUUGCUGGCCUCAUAAGAGGUUUCAGCUCUCCUGAAAUGCAUUAGCAGAACAACCCUGUUCAUUGGUGUGAUAACUAUCUACGCUAUUGAAUGUGAAGGGCAGUUUGGCUUUCUAACAGUCCUUGGACAGCUCAUCAUUAAUGUGACCUCAAAUCAGGUAGGACUACCCGCUGAACUUAAGCAUAUCAAUAAGCGGAGGCU
rnacentral:misc_RNA from 1 species